UUGAACGCUGGCGGCAGGCCUAACACAUGCAAGUCGAGCGGAUGAAGGGAGCUUGCUCCUGGAUUCAGCGGCGGACGGGUGAGUAAUGCCUAGGAAUCUGCCUGGUAGUGGGGGAUAACGUCCGGAAACGGGCGCUAAUACCGCAUACGUCCUGAGGGAGAAAGUGGGGGAUCUUCGGACCUCACGCUAUCAGAUGAGCCUAGGUCGGAUUAGCUAGUUGGUGGGGUAAAGGCCUACCAAGGCGACGAUCCGUAACUGGUCUGAGAGGAUGAUCAGUCACACUGGAACUGAGACACGGUCCAGACUCCUACGGGAGGCAGCAGUGGGGAAUAUUGGACAAUGGGCGAAAGCCUGAUCCAGCCAUGCCGCGUGUGUGAAGAAGGUCUUCGGAUUGUAAAGCACUUUAAGUUGGGAGAAGGGCAGUAAGUUAAUACCUUGCUGUUUUGACGUUACCAACAGAAUAAGCACCGGCUAACUUCGUG
rnacentral:rRNA from 1 species